rnacentral:sRNA from 1 species
CUUUAGCCCCGAUAGCAGUGAAAAUCCUCUGGUCUUGUGACAAAACAAGACCAGAGAUUGUAGCGAAUAGCGGGACGAUGC